CACACUUCAUGUAUUUUUGUUUUUAGCUGCCAUGGACUGUUAGUCCCUUCUAUAAAACAGCGUGUCCACUGUAUUUACAGUAUAAUCUCCCUGGAAAGGAGGCUCUAAGCUCUUUAAAAAUGUGUACGUUUUCUUCACUGCUGUAUUCUUAGCAUUAAACUGUGGAGCACACAGUGUAUUUCUGCAGCAAAUGCUUGCUGAAUCAUUCUUUUUACAAGACUAAAAGAAAACAAAACAAAAAAGCCCAACAAACAAACAACACACACACACACACAAAACCCCUUACAAUGACUCAGGUCAAUACACUAUAUUUACUCUGUAGGUGUGAGUGCGAGUCUUGAUCUACCCUGGGGGCACUGAUUUACAAAUGCUUGGGGAAUCAGGAAGUGGGAGUCACUAGUAAGGGAGUAAUUUAAGGUAAAUCCCAUUUUCAUCAAUCCAUUUUAUCUCCGGGAGAUAAAACUGAGAGGAAAGCUGAAAUUAUAAACCCAUUACAGUAAUUCAGGAGGAGGUAAUGAAAGUUUGGAUCCUUUGUUACACAUGAGGUUAAGCCAUAAUGGCUACUUGGAUAUAGGGGGACAGUAGGGAUCAGACUAAGUUUUAGGGCUCUACGAUUGUAACUAUAAUGCUACAGUAAGGGAAACGUAACAUCCCAAGAGUCUGUUACAAGUGGAGCAGGGAGGUAAACACCCUCCUCCUAGAUUAAUAUUUACCUUCCUAAUGAGCCUACAAGUAACCUAAAUACUUACGACAUAAAGUUCACUCUGGUGCAGAACAGUGCACUAGAGACCAAAGCAAUCCUCUGAGACCCUUGCUUAUAUUCCCGUUUACCAGUGUGCUGAGCUGGACUUUGAGCAGGGAGAUUCCCUUGUAAGGAAAAGGGCAGGAAGGCUGUCUCGUGGGUUAAAAGUUUCAAGUCAAUUGUGGACCAGAAGAUAAAGACCUACCAAGAUUCCGAAAGACUUCAAACGACUGCUUUCCACUUCACUGCAACACUUCAAAACUAGGCGGUUUUAGGUACCCAUCCUAAAGAUUCCCCAAGGAAAUAGUUCAAUCAACUUAGUUCAAACAGAACACUUUUCGAUCCAUUUCUUACACAAUUUCAAUUUUUAGUGCCAUACGUUACCUGGAAAGUUCUCUUGAUUGAGCUUAGGCCGACGGAUGAUCACAAAGUCUUUUUCGCUGCCUUUGCUCUUUAGCCGUUUCCUUGGGGGGCUCUGAGGGUGGCCGAGGUUUGAGAGCAGUUCAUGUGGAAUGUUCUCACUGUCCACCUCCUCUUUCUCCAAGGCAGAGACACCCAUGCCGGAGAGCAGUUCAGAAGUCUUGCUGGAAUCCCAUCCCCACGUGAAGCUGGUGGUGACGUUGCUACUCUGGUCCGGAAUCUCCUGAAGGUGCUUCCUGCAGAAGGGCAUACAUUCCCCAAUCCUUUUGAAAGCACACCCCUAGAUAAUUCCAAGCCUCCCGCUCCAGCGUGCGGCGCAGAGAGAUUCCCCCCACGGGGCCCCACAGCCGGACCCGCGAACUAGUAACGUUCCAUCACCACCGCGCGCGCGGAGUUCUGCAUCCCGCUCUCCGGCAGCCGCCUUCUGACGCCCCGUCGCCUGCUGGGAAUUGUAGUUCUGGGCGUGGCUCGCUGUCCGACUAGAUUCCCUCCUUCUUUUUGCCCAGCCCUCCAGAUACCCACAACCCCCCGCGGCGCAGGGCGGGACGGGGAUGGAAGGGGGGGUGGAGGACGGGCGAGCGGAAGUGGGCGGAGCUCAGACUGACUGGGAAAUGUCAGCCGAUUGACUGGGUGAGGGUUUUUCUUUUCCCCGCGCCCACAGGCCUUCGGGUGACCACCGCUGCGGUCGCCUCGGACUGUGGUUCUCCGACGCCGACAGACUGCGGCGGACGCGAAGCUUCUCAGUCCCUUCCGGGCGCUGUCUGGAGAGAUCCGACGUGAACAGAUACGGUCCAGAACUAUGCAUGAAUCACUGUAGUUGGCUAUUGUGAGCAUUUAAUAAUGAGUGGUGCAGCUUUAGGACUUGAGAUUGUUUUUGUCUUCUUUCUGGCAUUGUUCCUCCUUCAUCGCUAUGGAGACUUUAAGAAACAGCAUAGACUUGUAAUCAUUGGAACACUGCUGGCUUGGUAUCUCUGCUUCCUUAUUGUCUUCAUACUGCCGCUGGAUGUUAGUACGACAAUAUAUAACCGGUGCAGACAUGCUGCUGCAAAUUCCAGCCCUCCUGAAAAUAGCAAUGUUACGGGAGUGUAUGCAGCUGUCACCCCAGCUCCAAGGCAACAUCCAUGUUUCAAGCCAUGGAGUUACAUUCCAGAUGGAAUCAUGCCAAUUUUCUGGAGGGUAGUUUAUUGGACAUCACAGUUUUUAACGUGGAUUCUUCUACCUUUUAUGCAGUCAUAUGCAAGAUCUGGAGGCUUUUCCAUUACUGGAAAGAUAAAAACAGCCCUGAUUGAGAAUGCAAUCUAUUAUGGCACUUACUUGCUGAUAUUUGGAGCAUUUCUAAUUUAUGUGGCUGUAAACCCACGUUUGCAUUUAGAAUGGAACCAACUUCAGACUAUAGGGAUAGCUGCUGCCAACACAUGGGGUCUGUUUCUUCUUGUGUUGUUAUUGGGGUAUGGCUUGGUGGAGAUUCCUCGGUCAUACUGGAAUGGAGCCAAAAGGGGUUAUCUACUCAUGAAGACUUACUUUAAGGCAGCCAAACUGAUGACAGAGAAAGCAGAUGCAGAAGAGAACUUGGAGGAUGUAAUGGAGGAGGUUCGUAAAGUAAAUGAAAGCAUUAAGUACAACCACCCAUUGAGAAAAUGUGUUGAUACAAUACUUAAAAAGUGCCCUACAGAUUAUCAGGAAAAGAUGGGUAGAAAUAUGGAUGAUUAUGAAGAUUUUGAUGAAAAGCGUAAUACCUACCCAAGUGAAAAAAGUUUGGUAAAAUUGCAUAAACAGGUCAUUUAUUCAGUUCAAAGGCACCGUCGAACUCAAGUGCAAUGGCAAAUUCUUUUGGAACAGGCGUUCUAUCUAGAAGAUGUAGCAAAAAAUGAAACUAGUGCAACUCAUCAGUUUGUUCACACCUUUCAGUCACCCGAGCCAGAAAAUCGAUUUAUCCAAUAUUUUUAUAAUCCUACAGUUGAAUGGUACUGGGAAUGCCUAUUGCGUCCAUGGUUUCACAGGAUCCUUGCUGUGGUUUUGUCCAUCUUCUCGGUGAUUGUUGUGUGGUCAGAGUGCACCUUCUUUAGCACAACUCCUGUCUUAUCUCUCUUUGCAGUCUUCAUACAGCUGGCAGAAAAAACAUACAAUUAUAUUUAUAUUGAGAUUGCUUGCUUCCUUUCCAUCUUCUUCUUAAGUAUUUGUGUUUACUCUACGGUGUUCAGAAUUCGAGUGUUUAAUUACUACUACUUGGCUUCGCAUCAUCAGACCGAUGCUUACAGCCUUCUUUUCAGCGGCAUGUUAUUUUGCCGUUUGACUCCCCCUUUAUGUCUUAACUUCUUGGGAUUGACACACAUGGAUUCAUCCAUCUCUCACCAGAAUACCCAGCCAACUGCAUAUACUUCUAUCAUGGGUUCCAUGAAAGUUUUAUCCUUUAUUGCAGAUGGAUUCUAUAUAUAUUAUCCUAUGUUGGUGGUAAUUCUCUGCAUUGCUACGUAUUUUAGCUUGGGAACCCGUUGUUUGAAUCUGCUUGGUUUCCAGCAGUUCAUGGGAGAUAAUGAUAUGACAUCAGAUCUAGUUGAUGAAGGAAAAGAAUUAAUCAGACGAGAGAAAAGAAAAAGACAAAGGCAAGAGGAGGGUGAAAAUCGAAGAAGAGAAUGGAAAGAACGUUAUGGACACAACAGAGAAGAUUCCACUAGGAACAGAAAUGUUCAUCCUGACCCCAAAGAGUCGAAUUUCUCAGAUACUACUACCAAUUGGUCAUCCAAGUACACCAGGGCUAAUAACAGGACUGAACGAGACCGGAUAGAACUUCUCCAGGAUGCAGAACCUUUGGAUUUUAAUGCAGAGACAUUCACUGAUGAUUCUCUGGAACCUGAGUCAGGAAGGUAUCAGCCUGGUGGACGAUAUCUCUCCAUGUCUUCCAGCAUAAUAUUUGAAGAUAUCUAAAGUUUGAAGAAAUUCAUGGCUCAAGUAGCCAGGGUCAUCACAUCAGCUCAGCCUCUAUGAACAUGAUUGUGCCCUACAACUCCUCUGUACUGUCUGUGAAUAAGAAGAAUACUGCAAUUACGUCAAACUAUUUGAACACGUUGGGAUUUUAUGCAGUGAUCUGUCAGGUAAAAGGGAUAUCUUCGAUUCUUUAAGGCAUGAGAAGUUUGAUCUACUAUUUUUGGAUUCAACAGAUCUCUGUGUUUUCUUGUUUGCUGAGAAACUUGAGAAACGAUUUGCGGCCUUUCUUCCCAUGCUCUUUGGCUUUAUCGACUGUGGGCUACCAGGCCCUUGUCUUAUGUUCCAGUAUUUAGUUCCAGUCUAACUGAUCUGACGAACUUCCAGCAGCCACUGCAUGAACAGUACUUGCUGGAUAUCAUUCUGUUCCUGCUAGGUCACUUUAUGGCUUUGUGGGAAGAUUCUUGGUGCUAUGGCCAGGUAUCUGAGUAGAGCCAGGAAGAUGAAGAAGACACAACAUUAAGACAUGACUGUCCUGCCUAGCAGGGAAGGUGCUGUUGGUGAAAGUAUCUGGAAUCAUCACAGUUUUCCAACGACAGUACAGAUCUCCUGAUAUCUCAGCAGCUGAUGCCCACAUUUUUCUACUCAUUUACAGGAACCCAGUGUGCCACACUCAGUCAUCUUGACCUUCGUGUGACUCAGAACUCUCUGCUGAGAAACAUUACUUCCCGGAAACCCAGACUUCUAGAUCCCUUCUCCUAGAUACAGUCUUGAUAGUUUUACCUUUUUUCUGCAGAGAAAUCUUUUGUCUCAUUUAUUCUACUAGUUUCUGUAUUCUUCCCCUAAAUACUUGGGAGUCUUUUACUCCUAUAUUUUGCUUUUGUUAUGACCUCUCCUCAUAGCUCAGGAAACCUUUCUUCCCCUCUCCUUUUCAGGCAAGAAUAGCCCCCUCCUUUAAAAAAAGAGGGGACAGGGUCUUGAGAGAUGGCUCAGUGGUUAAGAGCAUUGCCUGCUCUUCCAAAGGUCCUGAGUUCAA